GGUUGGGUGGCCUAUACUUGCCAGAGUCUCCCGUGGAUGUGAUAACUUACUGCAGCCACCGGAGCCUUCUGGGGUGGUCUGGGAGAGUCACCAGUCGGCACCACUGAGGCGGGAAACGGAGCCCGGCGGUCCUGGAACCUCCCAGGUCAGAGAAGCUGUAAGGAAACAGGGUUGACAUGCAGUGAUGUGACUGUGAACUUCUUCUGUCAGGAAGAGGGGCAGUCAACAAGGGUGCAGAGGGUACCUGGAAGAGAAUGGGGGACAAGAGAUGUGAAGAAGGACGCCAAGACAAGAGUCUGAUCAAGGGUGUACACUUUACAGCCACACCUGCUCAUCGUGGAGCAGGACAAAGUGCCCUGGAAGGAAGAGAGAGAGGCAACAGUAGCAAUGGAUCCAGG
rnacentral:lncRNA from 1 species